rnacentral:misc_RNA from 1 species
AGCAGCCGCGGUAAUUCCAGCUCCAAUAGCGUAUAUUAAAGUUGUUGCAGUUAAAAGCUCGUAGUUGAAUUUCGAGACCGGUCUACUGGUCGUGCUUUUGUACGUACUGGUAUAAUCGGUUUCUCUCUUCUGACGAACUAUAAUGCCAUUAAUUUGGUGUUUUAGGGAAUCAGGACUGUUACUUUGAAAAAUUGAGUGUUUAAAGCAGGCUCACGCUUGAAUACAUUAGCAUGGAAUAACGAAAUAGGACGUUUGAUUCUAUUUUGUUGGUUUCUAGGAUCGACGUAAUGAUUAAUAGGGAUAGUUGGGGGCAUUAGUAUUCAAUUGUCAGAGGUGAAAUUCUUGGAUUUAUUGAAGACUAACUACUGCGAAAGCAUUUGCCAAGGAUGUUUCCAUUAAUCAAGAACG